GGUGAAUGCUGGCGGCGUGCCUAACACAUGCAAGUCGAACGGGAUCCUAGCUUGCUAGGUGAGAGUGGCGGACGGGUGAGUAACACGUGGGAAUCUGCCUUUUGGUUCGGGAUAAUCGCGGGAAACUGCGGCUAAUACCGAAUGCCCUCGAGAGAGGAAAGAUUUAUCGCCAGAAGAGGAGCCCGCGUCCGAUUAGGUAGUUGGUGGGGUAAAGGCCUACCAAGCCGACGAUCGGUAGCUGGUCUGAGAGGAUGAUCAGCCACACUGGGACUGAGAUACGGCCCAGACUCCUACGGGAGGCAGCAGUGGGGAAUAUUGGACAA
rnacentral:rRNA from 1 species